AUUAAUCAAGCAAUGCUCAUUCCUGCAGUGUAACAAUUUUGAGCCAGUCUUUGAAGAGGAUAUUGAUGAAUCACACAAAUUAAUUUGGAAUCAAAUGUGAAUUAUUUUACAUAUAUAUAUAUAUAACUACUGUAUAAAGAGUGGCAUUCAAGAAGUAAAGACAGACUGAACUACAGCUGAAUAGAAAUCUUCAAGAAAGAGAUGGAGAGGAACAUUAUCACCAACUAUCCAUGACACAAACCUGAGAGACUACUAUGAUGCCUACUUUCACUUCUCCAUCCAUUACAGUAACCACACUCCCCUUAUCUUCGAUGAUUAACUACCAUCACUUGGCUCAUGUCACCUGGGGAUCCCAUUAUCUCCAUUGCCUUUAGGGAUCCCUGCUCAACAGCAGCAGUUUCCGCUGGAAUUUCUGACCUACAGAAAAGAGUAACUGAAGAACUCUUCGAGGAUACUGGGUCUCCCCUCAUAAAUUUAUUUCGCACAGUUUUAGUGAAAGAUGUGAUAUCCUGGAGCAGCAGAUCACCUUUGGGUCCAUGUUUCAGCAAACCAACUAAACAACCUUUGGAGCCCUUUCUCACCUCUUGAGCUGAAUCAUUGGAUCCAGGAUCUCUGUUUACUGAGCCCAUAUCAAUAAAAUAAGCCUGAUCCAACUUUUUUCCUUUCACCAUGAUUCAACACUCACAAGCUCCAUUCCCACACAUAAUUUCCAUAUUUCUGUAUGUAUACAUUAUAAAAAUC
rnacentral:lncRNA from 1 species